UUUCAAAGUGCCUAUUUGUGGCUA
rnacentral:siRNA from 1 species